UACGUAGGGCGCAAGCGUUAUCCGGAAUUAUUGGGCGUAAAGAGCUCGUAGGCGGUUUGUCGCGUCUGCCGUGAAAGUCCGGGGGCUCAACUCCGGAUCUGCGGUGGGGUACGGGCAGACUAGAGUGAUGUAGGGGGAGACUGGAAUUCCUGGUGUAGCGGUGAAAUGCGCAGAUAUCAGGAGGAACACCGAUGGCGAAGGCAGGUCUCUGGGCAUUAACUGACGCUGAGGAGCGAAAAGCAUGGGGGAGCGAACAGG
rnacentral:rRNA from 1 species